GGGUUGUAGCAUUGUGUAGAAUAGUCAAUCAAUAUAUAACCACAUUUUCUCAUAUCUUAUCCUUUCAAGAAUAAGGAGUAGAUUUGGAAGGAAGGAAGGAGAGGGAGGAAGAACAAAGAAGUCAAGAUGAGAGCUAAGAAUGAGGAGAACUAGGAAGUGAGGAUUGGAAACCAAGAAAUAAAGAUGACGGUCAUAAUUGUAAUGAUGAGUUUUGGAGAUAAUUUACUUUUCUAAUGAUUAUUACAAUAAAAUGGAUCCAUUCAAUAAAUAGAUA
rnacentral:lncRNA from 1 species